CUGUUAUGAUGUCACUCAGGUCUUUACUUCUCUCUGUUAUGAUGUCACUCAGGUCUUUACUUCUCUCUGUUAUGAUGUCACUCAGGUCUUUACUUCUCUCUGUUAUGAUGUCACUCAGGUCUUUACUUCUCUGUUAUGAUGUCACUCAGGUCUUUACUUCUCUGUUAUGAUGUCACUCAGGUCUUUACUUCUCUGUUAUGAUGUCACUCAGGUCUUAACUUCUCUCUGUUAUGAUGUCACUCAGGUCUUUACUUCUCUGUUAUGAUGUCACUCAGGUCUUAACUUCUCUGUUAUGAUGUCACUCAGGUCUUUACUUCUCUGUUAUGAUGUCACUCAGGUCUUUACUUCUCUCUGUUAUGAUGUCACUCAGGUCUUUACUUCUCUGUUAUGAUGUCACUCAGGUCUUUACUUCUCUGUUAUGAUGUCACUCAGGUCUUUACUUCUCUGUUAUGAUGUCACUCAGGUCUUUACUUCUCUGUUAUGAUGUCACUCAGGUCUUAACUUCUCUCUGUUAUGAUGUCACUCAGGUCUUAACUUCUCUCUGUUAUGAUGUCACUCAGGUCUUAACUUCUCUCUGU